UACUACCGAUUGAAUGGCUCAGUGAGGCCUUGGGACUGGCUCAGAGAGGUCGGCAACGACCACUCAGAGCCGGAAACUUGGUCAAACUUGGUCAUUUAGAGGAAGUAAAAGUCGUAACAAGGAUCAUUAACGAGUUAGGGUUCCCUCUGGGCCCGACCUCCCAACCCUUUGUCUACUUGACCAUCGUUGCUUCGGCGAGCCCGUCCUCACGGACCGCCGGAGGGACCUUCAUUGGCCCUCUGGUCCGCGCUCGUCGGUGGCCCAACCUUUUUAAAAUCUUUAACCAAACGUGCCUCAAUCUAAGUACUAUUUGUUAAAUAAAAGCAAAACUUUCAACAACGGAUCUCUUGGUUCUGGCAUCGAUGAAGAACGCAGCGAAAUGCGAUAAGUAAUGCGAAUUGCAGAAUUCCAGUGAGUCAUCGAAUCUUUGAACGCACAUUGCGCCCUUUGGUAUUCCGAAGGGCAUGCCUGUUCGAGCGUCAUUAUCACCCCUCAAGCCCCCGGCUUGGUGUUGGACGGUUUGGUGGAGGCCCCUUGCGGGCAUCUGCCCCUCCCAAAGACAAUGACGGCGGCCUCGUUGGACCCCCGGUACACUGAGUUCUUCACGGGACACGUAUCGGACACACGGGUUUACGGGGCACGGUCUGCCUCCCCUCAGGGAGAAUCUUUCUAAGGUUGACCUCGGAUCAGGUAGGGAUACCCGCUGAACUUAAGCAUAUCAAUAAGCGGAGGAAAAGAAACCAACAGGGAUUGCCUCAGUAACGGCGAGUGAAGCGGCAACAGCUCAAAUUUGAAAUCUGGCCUCUUUGGGGUCCGAGUUGUAAUUUGUAGAGGAUGUUUCGGGUACCGCCUCGGUUUAAAUUUCUUGGAACAGAAUGUCAGAGAGGGUGAGAAUCCCGUCUUGGACCGGCGGUAGGGCCCAUGUGAAACUCCUUCGACGAGUCGAGUUGUUUGGGAAUGCAGCUCAAAAUGGGUGGUAAAUUUCAUCUAAAGCUAAAUAUUGGCCAGAGACCGAUAGCGCACAAGUAGAGUGAUCGAAAGAUGAAAAGCACUUUGAAAAGAGAGUUAAACAGUAUGUGAAAUUGUUGAAAGGGAAGCGCUUACAACCAGACUUGCGCGCGGCGGUUCCCCCUUCCUUUUGGUUGGGCUACUCCGUCGUGUCCAGGCCAACAUCGGUUCUGGGGGUCGGUUAAAGACCCUGGGAAUGUAUCUACCCUUCGGGCGUAGACUUAUAGCUCAGGGUGUCAUGCGACCUCCCGGGACCGAGGAACGCGCUUCGGCUCGGAUGUUGGCGUAAUGGUUGUCAGCGACCCGUCUUGAAACACGGACCAAGGAGUCUAACAUCUAUGCGAGUGUUUGGGUGUCAAACCCGGAACGCGAAAUGAAAGUGAACGGAGGUAGGAAGCCUUGAGGCUGCACUAUCGACCGAUCCUGAUGUCUUCGGAUGGAUUUGAGUAAGAGCAUAGCUGUUGGGACCCGAAAGAUGGUGAACUAUGCCUGAAUAGGGUGAAGCCAGAGGAAACUCUGGUGGAGGCUCGCAGCGGUUCUGACGUGCAAAUCGAUCGUCAAAUUUGGGUAUAGGGGCGAAAGACUAAUCGAACCAU
rnacentral:rRNA from 1 species